GCUUGUCUCAAAGAUUAAGCCAUGCAUAUCUAAGAAUAACUAACAUUAUCUUGAAUCUGUGAAUGGCUCAUUAUAUCAGUUAUAGUUUACAUGAUAGUCAAUACUACUUGGAUAACCGUAGUAAUUCUAGAGCUAAUACAUGCGAAAAGACCCGACUUUGCGGAAGGGUUGCAUUUAUUAGAUACAAAACCAAUGCGGGGCAACCCGGUUGUUGGUGAUUCAUAAUAACUUUUGCGGAUCGCAUGGCCUUGAGCCGGCGACGAAUCAUUCAAAUUUCUGCCCUAUCAACUUUCGAUGGUACGGUAUUGGCCUACCAUGGUUACCACGGGUAACGGGGAAUUAGGGUUCGGUUCCGGAGAGGGGGCCUGAGAAAUGGCCACCACAUCCAAGGAAGGCAGCAGG
rnacentral:rRNA from 1 species